rnacentral:rRNA from 1 species
CCUACGGGUGGCAGCAGUGAGGAAUAUUUGUCAAUGGACGAGAGUCUGAACCAGCCAAGUAGCGUGAAGGAUGACUGCCCUAUGGGUUGUAAACUUCUUUUAUAUGGGAAUAAAACGUUCCACGUGUGGGAUUUUGUAUGUACCAUAUGAAUAAGGAUCGGCUAACUCCGUGCCAGCAGCCGCGGUAAUACGGAGGGUCCGAGCGUUAUCCGGAUUUAUUGGGUUUAAAGGGAGCGUAGGUGGAUUGUUAAGUCAGUUGUGAAAGUUUGUGGCUCAACCGUAACAUUGCAGUUGAAACUGGCAGUCUUGAGUACAGUAGAGGUGGGCGGAAUUCGUGGUGUAGCGGUGAAAUGCUUAGAUAUCACGAAGAACUCCGAUUGCGAAGGCAGUUCACUGGACUGCAACUGACACUGAGGCUCGAAAGUGUGGGUAUCAAACAGGAUUAGAUACCCCUGUAGUC